UACGGAACUACCUCUCGCGUUAUGUUCCAAAUGAAGACCCGGAUAAGCCCUAUCCUUCUCUAAUGCCAAGUCCCGUAUAACAGGACCUGGCGAAGUCCCUACUUCACGGGUGAUGAACACUCUCAGUAGAGCCUUCCUUCACCAGUUGCUGUCGUUGGUAGUGAAAGGAAGUCUAGAGGCGUCGAUUUGACAAUGUAGGGCGUGUGUCAGACUGCUUGACUUCGUGGAAAGACGGCGAAAGUUGGGGGUGAUUUGUCGCUGUGGCGACCGUAGCGCCUUCCUUUGUCAAUUUUGUCCACGGAAAGGCCCCGGCCAGCAACCAAAUGUUGAUCACCCUACGUGCACAGAAUAGGAUGAGGAACAUGGCGCUUAGCGACCGGAAGUUUGUGGUUUUCAAGUCGUCGUUAUUGCCCGGUGAUUCAUCGUUUUCAAGGUACUUGUGGAAUAAUUUAUUGAGGCUUGUCAACGCGUUACGAUGUGGGAGCCCAACUUUUGAGCCUCCCCUGCAUUUUGUCCAAGGGUCAGAAGACUAGUUAGGGCUCUCUUAGUGCUGUUCAGAUGUAAAUCUUUUGUUUACCGCUAGUCUUUUAGAAUCCUCGUCCUCUGGUAGUGUAUAGAGUACUUAGCAAUAUCUGCAUUUCGCCUUGCAUACCAAUAACUCAUUGUACGCGGUUAGUGUAUAUAUGUAGCAGUCAGAAACCGUGCAUUGAAACAAGUCGUACGUAGUACACGUGCAACUACGAGUCAACUCUACACUUCCUGAACAUGGUAGGUCCACUGCACUGCUGUUUUCCCAUGCCUAGAUGUUUCCAGUUCACCGCGAGGAGAGUCAAUAUCGUACAAAAGUGCUGCUUGCCGAGUGGAAAGUACCGUCACAUAGACUGCGUUAGCAAUACACGCCAAUCUGAUCAUGACGUGGAGAGGUCAACAAGCUCUAGGCCACUGUUUUCAUGAACCGUUGAGUGAAACUGGGCCGGCAGUUCUCACACCAUUUCCCCCACAGACUAUAGAUGUCAGAGUAGACGCGCAGGAGUGGUGAAUAGUUCUACGUCUGUUUCAAUUCGCGCAAACCUGCAGAUGAGUUCAGUAGAACGAAACGUUGCUGGAGA